AGAGUUUGAUCCUGGCUCAGAAUCAACGCUGGCGGCGUGCCUCAGACAUGCAAGUCGAACGCGAAAGUCCCCUUCGGGGGACAAGUAGAGUGGCGCACGGGUGAGUAACACGUAGGUAAUCUACCUUCGGGUGGGGAAUAACCCCGGGAAACCGGGGCUAAUACCGCAUAAUGCAGCGGCACCUAAUGGUGACAGUUGUUAAAGCGGGGGAUCGCAAGAUCUCGCGCCUGAAGAGGAGCCUGCGGCGGAUUAGCUAGUUGGCAGGGUAACGGCCUACCAAGGCGACGAUCCGUAGCCGGCCUGAGAGGGCGGUCGGCCACACUGACACUGACAUACGGGUCAGACUCCUACGGGAGGCGGCAGUCGGGAAUUUUGGGCAAUGGGCGAAAGCCUGACCCAGCAACGCCGCGUGAAGGAUGAAAUCCCUCGGGAUGUAAACUUCGCAAGAACGGGAAGAAUAAGUUUGUGCUAACACCACAAGCGAUGACGGUACUGUUUGUAAGCUCCGGCUAACUCCGUGCCAGCAGCCGCGGUAAUACGGGGGGAGCAAGCGUUGUUCGGAUUUACUGGGCGUAAAGGGCGCGUAGGCGG
rnacentral:rRNA from 1 species